UGAAAGAAAAGUACACCUUGGUGGUAUUUUUGGGUGAUAUUUGUAACCACUUAACACCACUUUCCAGACUAUUUGUACCACCCUUAGCCGAAAAUUCAGAGUUAAAAGAUGACUAGGUGCAUUUUUUACUCAACUUAGGUGUAAUCCAUCCAGUACUUUAGGGUUUUCUUGCAACUAUGGUGUAAUUUCAAGUUCUUAUGUUUUUUACACCUCAGCUUAUUGGUAGUAAAAUUAUUACCCAAGUGCAUUUUUAAUCCCAUGCGGAUAAUAAAUGGCUAGUUGGUAGCAUAAAUUUACACUUGCGUGGUUCAGCUGAUUAUCGCAAAACCUAAAUGGAGUAAAUUUACACUGUGGACUUGAUAAGCGAGGGAUUUUUAGGUGUGGUUUUAUGCUACAUGGUUAUUUCAGUCUUCAGUGUUGUAUUUUUACAGCUCGGGGCGUUAUUUUACUAUGGUGUUCCACGUGGCCAAUUUAUACCGCCAUUUUGUACCGCCAUUUUACCGUUUGUGUCGAAACUUUGAACUGGAUGGAUACAUGGUGAAGCGUGGGGUGGCGUGCAGGUGAAGCGUGCAGUGUCUACUGGACGACCAAGACCGCGGCAAGCAGUGAACAACAAAGUUGUGGCACGAUCUGACCCUGAUUAUGGGGACUCGUGAGGAGCCAGAAGAGCUAAAGGAAAAAGUUACGAACAUCCAGCAAGUGUGUGAGCAGUAUGCGGCCAACGUCCUCCCUGAUACGCCAAUCACCGACGGUGACGAACUGGUGGCGCUACCCGCCUACGGGCGCGGGGCGACGCUGGACGAUCUGAAGAACGAGCAGAGCUCCGUGAGUGUUCAGUCGUCCCGCCUCAACGUUCAGAGAGCGAGUUCGAGCUGCCACAGUCGAAGGUCGGUGAAGUUGCCACAAUCCUUGCAACUCAUGCCGUGUUUUAUCUUCCGUUCUGUUGACCA